GAUAUAUUUACACUGUGGGUGGUAAAUACUAGAAAGAUGAGCUUGCACUGACCUCUGCCUCUGUGACUCAUCUGCUGCUGGAACCCUCUGGAUCUCAACAGCUCAUUUCAUGCUAGCUCACAUGACCAUCACAGUGGUGACUAAGAAGCAGAUGAACCCUCAGGAAAAGAAGAACUGGGCAGGUUUUGACCGGGAAUCAUCAAUCACAGAAGCUGCCUGAGAUUAACAAGGAGCCAGUUUUUCAAACAUCCUGCAGUAAACCCAGAGGAAAUCCAGCUGGAACUGCAACUCGAACACAGGCAACUGACUCUAAAAGUAUCCUCUGUCCCUUCACCCUCGCCUUCCCUUUUGGCAUAACACUGCACCCAGGGUCACUUCUAACUGGUUCAAGUUCUGCAGAUAUAUGCCAUCCACUGAAACUCACUGACUGACACAUACAUGCUCUCAAGCUUACUGCAGUUACAGGAACACAGGAAUAAACUGGUGUGUGCAGCAGGAUUCAUGCAAACCCAUUCUACUUUGCAUUGGAAGGUGUAACACGUACUCAGUGCACUUCUUUUCAGCCGAGUGCCCACUGUUUACCCGCCCUGAAGUAGAUGGACUGUGUUGACUUCUAGCAGGUGAAGGAAGAUAAGCUCCUUUCUCACCUUCGAGAGUAUGUGGGGCUAACAAUCUUUAUCAUGAAAGGUCUGAAGCUGGAGAAGUAACUCAAAGACAGAACAGACUGAAGGAAUAAAAGGCUUCCCACAGCACUGUUGGCUGGUGAAGUGGGUUACAGGGUCUAUGCUGGAACAAUUUCUUAAAAGACAGCUGAGACAUGAAGUCCAGCACCAAAAUAAAGGAUUAGAAAGAAACAAUUCCAGCUGUUCCAUUAUUGAGCUCACAUGAACGAGAAGCAGUGAGUUAAAUAAUUCUAUCAACUCUGCCACUAAAGUCACAACGCCCAAGGCUCAGACUUGGAGGCAGAAUCCUGUGGCUCAUGGAGCUGUUCUGUCCCAUCACAGGAGGGUAGCUGGCAUUGUGCCUAAGUGGCAACCAAACCAUCAGGUGAGAAGUAGUAAUUAAUAUCAAAGCAAACACAGAGGUAAAUCUCACUACACUUCCGUGUAUCAUUAUAACUGUAGAAGGCAUAUGCUAUAUUGUAGCCCUUCCCUACCUUCAUAAGCCAUAAACCAAGAAGAGAACUCCAUUAGAGAAUCACUGAACAGGCAAGGUUGGAAGGAACUACAAUGGGUCAUCUGGUCCAACCUCCCUGCUCAAGCAGA